rnacentral:rRNA from 1 species
AUACCAGCACCCCGAGUGGUCGGGACGAUUAUUGGGCCUAAAGCAUCCGUAGCCGGUUCUACAAGUCUUCCGUUAAAUCCACCUGCUUAACAGAUGGGCUGCGGAGGAUACUAUGGAGCUAGGAGGCGGGAGAGGCGAGCGGUACUUAGUGGGUAGGGGUAAAAUCCGUUGAUCCAUUGAAGACCACCAGUGGCGAAGGCGGCUUGCCAGAACGCACUCGACGGUGAGGGAUGAAAGCUGGGGGAGCAAACCGGAUUAGAUACCCGGGUAGUCCCAGCUGUAAACGAUGCAGACUCGGUGAUGAAUAGGCUUCGUGCCUAUUCAAUGCCGCAGGGAAGCCGUUAAGUCUGCCGCCUGGGGAGUACGGUCGCAAGACUGAAACUCAAAUGAAUUGACGGGG